rnacentral:rRNA from 1 species
UAUUGCACAAUGGGGGAAACCCUGAUGCAGCGACGCCGCGUGAGUGAUGAAGUAUUUCGGUAUGUAAAGCUCUAUCAGCAGGGCAGAAAAUGACGGUACCUGACUAAGAAGCACCGGCUAAAUACGUGCCAGCAGCCGCGGUAAUACGUAUGGUGCAAGCGUUAUCCGGAUUUACUGGGUGUAAAGGGAGCGUAGACGGAGAGGCAAGUCUGAUGUGAAAACCCGGGGCUCAACCCCGGGACUGCAUUGGAAACUGUGCUGCUGGAGUGCAGGAGAGGUAAGUGGAAUUCCUAGUGUAGCGGUGAAAUGCGUAGAUAUUAGGAGGAACACCAGUGGCGAAGGCGGCUUGCUGGACGAUGACUGACGUUGAGGCUCGAAAGCGUGGGGAGCAAACAG